ACCUGCAGCCCUUUUAAGUAAAACUUGUGAUAUCAAAAGCCUGAGAGUAUCUCCUCUCAUACACAAUUCAUCCAACACAUGGAGAGCAAAGAUCAGAAGAAACUUCACAUAGCCAUGUUCCCAUGGCUAGCCUACGGCCACCUAAUGUCAUUUCUGGAGGUCUCCAAGUUCUUAGCUCAAAAGGGUCACCAAAUCUCCUUCAUCUCCACCCCC